rnacentral:misc_RNA from 1 species
GAUGAAGAACGUAGCGAAAUGCGAUAAGUAAUGUGAAUUGCAGAAUUCCGUGAAUCAUCGAAUCUUUGAACGCACAUUGCGCCCCCUGGUAUUCCGGGGGGCAUGCCUGUCCGAGCGUCAUUGCAACCUUCAAGCGCGGCUUGUGUGUUGGGUCUCGUCCCCCGUGGACGGGCCCGAAAGGCAGUGGCGGCGUCCCGACAUGGUGCCCGAGCGUAUGGGAAUCCUCUUCCGCUCGAAUCGGCCCAUGCGGCGCUGGUCGUAACCAACUUUUUUACCGGUUGACCUCGGAUCAGGUAGGGAUACCCGCUGAACUUAAGCAUAUCAAUAAGCGGAGG